CUGCAUCAAUACACAUCCUAGCCCAACACCCAAAGCAUCACAAUAAAUAACAUAGCCGUCUGGUCCCUCCGGAAGAGUUAGGACUGGAGCUGUAGUCAAUUUGUCUUUCAAUAGCUGGAAGCUUCGCUCACAAGCAUCUGUCCACUAGAACUUGGCUGCCUUUUGAGUUAGCCUUGUCAAAGGCGCUGAAAUUGAGGCAAACCUUUCUACGAAUCUCCUGUAAUAUCCUGCUAACCCCAGAAAGCUGCGUACCUCAGUAGGUGUCGUAGGUUUGGUUAAGUCUUUACUGCCUCAAUCUUCUGCGUGUCUACCCGAAUACCAUCAACUCCAAUAAUAUUCCCCAAGAAUGCCACUGAAGUCAACCAGAACUCGCACUUAGAAAAUUUAGCAUACAACUUCUGGUGCUGAAGCACCCUAAGUACCGUCCUUAAAUGAUCUGCAUGCUUCUCUUCUGAACGUGAAUAGACCAGAAUAUCGUCUAUAAAUACAAUAACAAACAUAUCAAGGAAUGGUUUAAAUACUCGAUUCAUUAAAUCCAUGAACACCGCUGGAGCAUUAGUCAGCCCAAAAGACAUCACUCUAAACUCAUAAUGCCCAUAUCGGGUCCGGAAUGCCGUCUUUGGAAUAUUUGCCUCCCUUACCCGCACCUGAUGAUAACCUGACCGCAAGUCUAUCUUUGAAAAACACUUUGCACCCUGCAACUGGCCAAAUAGAUCGUCAAUCCUUGGGAGGGGAUACCUGUUCUUUAUUGUUACUUUGUUCAACUGCCUAUAAUCAAUGCACAUCCGCAGCGACCCAUCCUUCUUCCUCACAAACAGUACCGGUGCUCCCCAAGGUGACGUACUAGGCCUGAUGAAGCCCUUUUCUAGCAAAUCCCUCAAUUGCUCUUUCAAUUCUUUCAACUCAGCAGGUGCCAUUCUAUAAGGAGGUAUAGAUAUAGGCUGGGUAUCUAGCAGUACAUCUAUAGUAAACUCUAUCUCCCGUUCUGGAGGAAGGCCUGGAAGUUCCUCGGGGAAUACAUUGGGAAAUUCAUUAACUACCGGGACUGAUUGAAGAGUCGGUGCCUCUGCCUUUAUGUCAUGCACCCGAAUCAGAUGGUAAAUAUAGCCUUUUCUAACCAUCUUCCCGGCCUUGAGGUAUGAAAUGAACUUAUCUUUCGGCGAUACUGUACUUCCCUUCCACUCUAUAAACGGUUCCCCUGGAAAUUGAAAUCGAACUAUCUUUCCUCUGCAAUCAACAUUAGCAUAACAAGCAGCCAACCAAUCCAUGCCCAUGAUAAUAUCAAACUCAAUCAUAUUUAACUCUAUUAGAUCUGGUACGACGACUAUAUAUAACUACUGAACAAUUCCUAUAUACUCGCGUAGCUAUGACAAAAUCUCCUACAGGUGUAGCUACCUCAAAUGGUUCUAUCAACUCAGACACUAUUCCGAUCCUACUAGCAACAAAGGGAGAUAUAUAUGAUAAGGUGGAACCUGGGUCUAUCAAUGCAUAGACAAUUCGGGAGAAUAGUGAUAAUAUACCUGUGAUCACAUUAGGUGACGCCUCCUGAUCUUGCCUAUUAGUCAAAGCAUAUAUACGGUUUGAGGGACCGCUAGAACUGGAAGCUCCACCACGUCCUCUACCACGGCCUGCUGGAGCCUGAAUACCCUGCCCCGUAGGGCGCAUAGCCACAGAAGAAGAUGAACCAGCAACGGACCCUGUAGGCUGUGCCAUACCACCUGCACUACCUCUAAGGUGACACUCCCUCAUAGUAUGGCCCUGACGGCCGCAAGAAAAACAUGCACCUGUAGCCCAACGACAUUCCCCAGGAUGGGACUUACCACAACGAGAACACCGAGGCAAAGGUGGCCUCGACUGGCUCAAACCCCGGCCCAUCUGUGACCCUGACGCCCUAGAGCUCUGACCAGUUACUGAAUAUCCCAUACGAUCGAACCCCCUACCUAUGAAAUGUGGGGGUGCACUCUGUGCUGGCUGGGAAGAAAAUCUAACAUGCUGCUGAGACUGCCCGCUUUGAAACUCUUCAGGAUAACCUGCUGAUCUAGCCCUUUUAUGCUGGCCUCUAUUAUAAUCUCUAUCUGGCUGACGUCCCCGAUGCCGAUCCUCUACCCCUUGUGCAUAUGCCUGCACCCGAGCAAUGUCCAUACCUGGCUGAAGAGUCACUGCCAUACAACCGUCAAUCAGAUAACGAUCCAAUCCCAUCACAUAACGAUGUACCCUGUCUGCCAUAUCAGCCACAAUAGUAGGCGCAUGCCUAGCCAAUGAAUCAAACUCGAGGCUAUACUCUCGAACACUCCUGCCAUUUUGCUUCAAACGCAAGAAUCUAUCGACUCUAGCUCACUUCAUCUCUGGAGGUAGGAAGUGGCCCUGGAAAUCCUCCACAAAUUCAUCCCAUACCGCUGGAGGAGCACCCUCACCCCUAGAUAACUCCCAAGACUCAUACCAAUUAAUAGCUACAUCCCGCAAACGAUACGUAGCCAACUCAACAAACUCGGUCUCUGAAGUCUUGAUUAUCCUCAAUGUACGCUGCAUCUGACGAAUAAACUCUUGCGGAUCAUCCUGGGGCCUUGACCCAAAGAACUAUGGAGGAUUACAACUUAAGAAGUCACGAGCCCUUAAGCUAUCAGAUCUGUCCGCAUGAUCAACUCCUAGUCCAUGCAUGCGAGCCUGAUCUGCCACUAAUCUAGUCAGCAAUUGAACCGCAUCUCUCAUGGCCCUAUCCUCCGCCCCUGACUGAGGAGCUGGAGGUUCAGAUGUUGGGGCCUCGGGGGCUGGUGGUGUCCCCCGAACUGGAGCUGCUGCUUCUCUAAGCUCUUUUGGCGGUAGGGGUGUAGCAGAGCUCUCCGACUGGAGCAUCAUACCAGGCAUAGACUGGGCACGGGCCCUAGUAACUCUCCGAGUCUUACUAGUACCUUCUGCUACCGAUUUUCCCUUCUGGGCGGCUGUCGCUUUCUUUGGAGGCAUAGCUGAAAACACACGGAUUCGUUAGAAAGGGAUUAUCCUGUUAAUAUAGCUCUAUCGCACGAUCUAGAAUAAGAAGAAAGAACGACAUCCUAAAUGUCCUGUAGCUUCCUGUUUAUAGAUGUGGUGCACAACACACCGAUAAACAAGACUCUACUAGACACGGUCUGUAGACACUUCCGAGGAAGAACCGCUCUGAUACCACUCUUUGUCACGACCCAACCCGAUGGGCCGUGACUAGUGCCCGUUUUGGACACCCACAUACAAAGCUGCUAAGUAUAACCAACUGAAACUAAGACAAUAUGGAAUUUCAUCAAAUCAAGCCAACCCCAACAUCAUAUAUAUAUAUAUAUAUAUAUAUAUAUGAGGACCUGUCUCAUAAGGAGUCAUAACCAUUCAACCAUAACAGCAUACGCGAGCUGACAAGGCCGCUACUAUUCAAAGCAUAAUAACAUACGUAUGCCGACAAGGCUGCCACUACACAAUACACAAUGAUGUACGUAGCCGACAAGGCUGCCCCUGUACAAGCGGACAUCCCAAACAAACCAUGUCCAGACCAUUAUCCAAAACAUAUAUAUACAACCCACAUAAUGUCCACAGACCUCUAAGAGUACAUUAGUGAAACUCAACGGGACAGGGCCCCACCGUACCCAUAGACGAGCAAAAGACUACACAAAAGUUAUGUACCAAAAUGACUAGGCUCCAGAACAGUGGAGCUUUCCCAAUCAGCAGAGUAGAUAUCCUAGGCGGGAGGAUCACCGAACUGUGCGUCUACACCUGCGGGCAUGAAACUCAGCCCCCCGAGGAAAGGGGGGUCAGUACGGACAAUGUACUGAGUAUGUAAAGCAUAAGGUAAAGAUGACAGGAUACCAAUAUGGCAAGUCGAAAAAAAAUAUCGCUACAUAUAUACCCUUUUAAGUGAAAAUCAUGCAUAUAUUUAACAUUUAAGGUGCCCAGCUUCCCUAGUAAGGGGCUCGGCAAAAUAAUCAUCACGUCAUCUCCGCCAUCAUCAUCAUCAUAACCAUCCUCAUCACCAAUCAUAUAUAUAAUAUACAUACCCGGCCCUCUAGUGAGGAACUCGGUGACAUAUGCAAGAAACUCCGCACGAACAUUACCCAGCCCGGAACUCGGUGAAAUGAUAAAUGACUCUAUGCACGAGAAGAAUAUUAUGAGCAACCAUAUGCAAUUAAAAUCAUUUCUUAUAACUCAAUAGAACAAUCAACGUGAACCAGCAAGGAGUAUUACCAAAGAUUAAUGUUUUAUCAAGAUUACGAACCUUUAAUACGAUAUGGAAACGUAAAAUCUCAAUGACUCUAAGAAGCACUACCAUAGAUAUUAGAGAUCAUCAUAGCCUUAGACAUAGCUGAUAUAUAGAGGAAUAAUUGUGGAAGCAAGAAUAUACGUCACCUAGACGCUCUAGAGGUAAGUAUCAAAUCUAUCCAUUAUUCGCUUAUUUUUAAAAGUCAUGCCAAACAAAGAAAGAAGGGACAGCGUUACAUACCGUAUAAUCGAGCCGCACGUCCAAUAUUUACUACUCAAGCUAUGAAUCUAUAACAAGCAACAAUCGUGCCGCAAUUAGAUAAACAUCGUGCUUUACUUUCUUCUAAGCUAGCUAACAAUCUAACGAAAAUUCGGCAGCACUUCCCCUAUUUUCCUUACUUCGUCCCAAUCCGACAACAAUCCAAAUUAUCCACAGCAAUACCAAUAACACAUAUAACCCAAAGAAUCAUAUUAAACAGCCCCCUCCCCAAAACUGUUCCGUCUCGGCAACCAUAGCAGCGAAGCAACGACACACUGAGCGAUAACUCGUUUUAUAAUUCACAACACAUCUACCUUAUCGUAUUCAUCCUUUGGAGUAUAUACUCAUAAUCACAUUCAACAUAUACAUAAUGCCAAAACAGAAUUUUCCUGCAGUUUGCUUUAAUCAAAACAGCCCAAGCACCAACACGACACCACUAAUAAUCCGAUUAUGGUUUCCGUUCAUACUUAGCACAUUCAAUAACUAAAACAAACUUCCUAAGCUACUGGUCACGCCCCCUUCUUAAAAUUAAUGGAUAAUUAACAAGGGUAUUCUAAAGAAUUAAUACACCAAACAAGGAGAUUACUAACCAAAUUAUUUGCAGCUGCUGGCCAAGAGUUGCAGGGUUGGUUUCUCCAUUUCCAUGGCUGCCUAAGACAAGUGGUGAAGAAGAAGAUGAUAUGCAGCAAUGCAUUUCACCACUUUAUUUAGCAUGGAGUGGAUUUCUCCACCUCAUUUAAUAGUAUGAAGUGGAGGCAGCCCCCCUCUACACCUGUCCACUAAGGCCAGCCCACAAUCUGAUCCCUUUUUAAUUUUUGCCUUGAGUGGUGGGGCCCACUGGAUUAAAUUAAUCCUAAUCAGCCACCAAUUAUGAGUGGUGGGGCCCAUUGGAUUAAAUCAAUCCAAAUUAGCCACUAAUUAAUCCUUCACUUAAAGUUAAUGGCACUUACAUUAGCCAACUCAUACUUAAUAUCACAUUUGGAAAUAACAUUCUUGCCUAAUAUUUCUUUACGUCUUCUAGAUCACGAUGCGCACUACGUAUAAAAAAAAUAUGAGGCAUAACAAAAAUCAUACCUUGGGAUCCGCUACCUAAUCAUACAUAUUUAUUCUUGGGUAGAGAUGACACUUUUCCAGGGAUCAUUCUAGCAGAAUUGACGGAAAACAAGUGAAGUGCUUAGUGGCGAUGCUGAUGAGGUUCAAGCGAGCCUUUGGUUGACUUUUGCAGAUAUUAUUGGGAUGCCUCCCAGUAUUUGUCACCAAAAAUCCAACUCAUGCCAUAUUACAAUCGAGUAUUGAGCACCAAAGAAGGUUCAAUUAACCUAUGCAAGAAGUAGGGGAAAAGGAGAUCUUCAAGUGGUUGGAUGCUUGAGUCAUUUAUCUUAUUGCGGACAUAAGUUGGUUGUGUCCUUUUUAGUGCGUGCCUAAAAAGUGUGGGAUGACUUUGGUACCAAAUAAAAGGACCACACCUUUUCCGAUGAGGGAAGUGACCGGAUGAAGAGUUUGCAUGGACUACAAGAAGUUGAAUGCUUGGAUUGAAAAGGACCAAUUUCUCAUACCCUUCAUGAAUCAGAUGUUAGACAGACUUGCAUGCAAGAGUUGGUAUUUUUUUUCUAGAUAUUUAGGAUACAACUAGAUCUCUAUUGCACCGGAAGAUCAGGAAAAUACCACCUUCACUUGUUCUUGUGGGACUUCCGCAUUCAAAAGGAUUCCAUUAAUAUUAUGUAAUGCAUCGGCUAUGUUCCAGCAUUGUAUGAUGUCAAUAUUUUGUGAUAUGGUGGAGGACACUAUUGACAUGUUCAUGGAUGAUAUUCUAAGGUUGGCUACUCAUUUGGUCGCUGCUACAAUAAUUUGGCAUAGGUAUUGAAGAGAUGUGAGGGUUGUAAUUUUGUGCUAAAUUUGGAUAAAUGCCACUUUAUGGUUAAAGAAGUCAUAGUGUUGGGCCACCUAAUCUUAGAGAAGAGUAUAGAGGUUGACUCCACCAAAGUUGAGGUGAGAGGGUUGACUGGGUUAUAGAUCCAUGAGGGCUCCUAAUAAGGCGACCAUCACAUUUGUGGCCAAAUUUUAAUGGCUAUUAAAGCGAAACCGAUUAUCGCCCCUAAAUUAUAACCUCAUUAAUCAUACGCUUACAUCCAUAGUAAUACAUAAUGAUGCAUAGGAGAACUAACCUUUCCUUAGUCUUCAUAAAACUAUCCUACACAUAGACAUGCAUAAAGUGUGUGUACAUUAGUCAACAUGAUAACAUAAUGCCUAUAAUAUAACAUUGAGGAAGACACCCUCUAAAGAUCACAACAUAUGUACAACAUUCCUCAAGUCUUAAGUCAAACACAUCUAGAGUAUUGAGGACUACAGACUACAUACACCCACAUUACAUAUUCAACGUUAGAAUAAAAGACUCCUAGUAUACUUUGAUCACAUAUUCAUAUAGGGAUUUCGCAGGUAGGGGUCAUGCUACAAGAGUUUUCAUCAUCAUUAGCCAUAUAGACCACACCUAACCCUAACAUGAUUAUCCACAUAUAUACAACUUCAUCUGCACACCUAAAACAUGAAACAAGUGUUGAAGACUACACAUAAAACUUCACAUAACAUCAAUCACUAAGAACAUGAUACUAGAAUCAAGGGUUACAACCAUCGACUUCAUAAACAUGAAAUCACUAUAUCAAUUAAUCUUAUAUCUAAUGCCUUCAAGGCCAUGACCACAACACAUAAAGAUGUACAAGAAUGUAAACAUCUCUACCAAAAGUGGACCAUACCAAGCAUAAAAAUUUCAUAUACAGUCAAAGCUAAUUAGAGAAAAUAGGUCAGCUUAUAAAAUCUCAAAGACAAUGCUUAUCAUUGACAAAUUCUUCCGGAACUCAUAAUCAAUUACCAUAAAUGAAUAUAGAACUAAGCAACUCGUUACUAUCUAAAUAUAAUCUAAUCAUCAUUUUAUCAAUAUCAUAAGACCCAUAUUAUGUCAUAAUUUUGAGAGGUUAAUGAGAUAAUAGUUCUUCACUUAACUAAUUUCAUAGGAAAUCUUCAUAAAACAGUAAUUCAAGGAACCCAUGGUUAGAUUGAAAAUUGGGAAUUUUAAUCUUUAGAUCACUUUUCAAAAUCUUUGAUUGAACUCCUUAGAUUGAAUAUUAACUAAGGAUCAACUAUUAUCAUACCUUAUUGAUUGAAGACCCAUAAAAAAUUGAAGAAGAAACCAUAAAUCCAGCCCCUAGCUUGAAUCUUUAGUUUUGUCUUCAAUGGACGUUUUUUAGAGAAUUUCGAAUAGAAGAGAGUUUUUGGAUUUUUGGGUAUUGGGGUUUUCCCUUGCGAAAGGGUUAAAUAGGUCUUAAAUAUAGUUAAUAACCGACACCAAAGUUUCAAAAACACCCCCAUACUUAUUUGGACUUUUAGACAUGUCAAACUUAACCUUCAUUUUUAGAAUUUUCUUAGGGGAACAAGUCCGCAUCGCGAGUUGUUCCCACGUGAAUUUAAGAAUUAAAUUUUAGGACAGUGAGUCCGCGCCGCCGUCAAAAAAUUGUGCUUUUGGUGAACCAUAUUCCCAAUACGGAUUACUUUCUUUUGAUGAGCAAUAAGUCCGCUCCCUUGGGGAGCUUGUUAUCCAAAGGUUGGGUAACAAGGACCCCUUGGUCGGUCCUUGGGGAGUCGUAACAAGAAGUUUUGACCCUAAAUAUGUUUAUUACGACACUAGACUCAACUCCUCUUUUUUAGGCUCGAACAACAAAUAAAAACAAGGCAAACAUACUACGACACACUAGCACGUCUAAAAACUUACCUCCAAACGUCUUGGUCGUUCUUGGACGUUUGAACUCCAAACCACUUAAAAUUGACUAUACAAGAUUUAAAAUACUUUAUUAACAUGUUAUUAACCUUUCUAGGCACAUGUGAGGAUCUAUCUACUUUAGUUCAUUUUGAAGGUCUUGAUAAUAUCCCCCACUUGGGAAUAUUCGUCCUCGAAUGACAUACAAAACUUUUUGAACACUUUCAUGGACUCAGAGUUCCAUAUAGAAGCGCAAAACAUACAACAUUCUAAUCUAUACCUUGAAAAAUAUAAUAACACAAACAUAAACUCACCAUCAAAAAUAUGAAUUUUUAUCUCCACUAUUGAACCAGUCCCAUUAUCUUUCAACAUUAACUCAUACAUUAAAGACCUUUAUGAAUUCCCGUGUCUUACUCAAUUAUUGAUCAUCUUUUCACUGAACUAAUAAUAUCUCCCUCUAAAAAUUAAAUCAUAAUAAUCAUCAAACUCAAUACCAUAAAAAAUUUAUCACCGUACUCAAGUAAAACAUGUGUAGACUUCUUUUUCAACGCUUAUCCAACAACUUUUAACUGAUAUGAAUGACAUGUAAACCAAUCAUAAUAAUCGAGGAAAAACAGAUGGAAUCAAGUGUUUCUUAAUACGGCUGAGCACUUUUUCUGAAGAUACGUCAUUGGCCUAUAAUCAAAGAGAAUAUCCUUGUUCUCCCAUCAAUGAGAAAGCUAUAUAUAUCUCAAUAAUUAUAUCCAUUUAUGACUCUAACUCCUUUAAAUUCUAUUCAAGCGGUGUUUCAACAUAUCCUACAAUUUUCCAUACAACCAUAUUACUCAUCAAAUUCUGGAAAAUCACAACAUUAGAUGUUUGCAAGUUGUUGUUACCACACUAAACUAGUUUAACCAACUAUCAUUAUUAUAUGGUUUCAUCUCACUCACAGUCCAUCACAAAAUCCUAUUACCAUCAUUCUUAAUUAGCUUUUUUUCAUCACUACAAAGACAAUCUUUUUAACAAUAUGACACCAUUAACCUAGUUAUACCAAUCCAAUCCAAAGGAAUGACCCACUUUUAUACGCAUUUUUUGACUAAAAAUCUCAUUUGCCUUCACUUAGGACUUUAUCCUGUUUCUUGAGCCUUAACAGUCCACAUUUAAAAACCUUGGGAUACACUUACAAACUUAAUGCAUUAAUACCUUUCAAAUAUUAACCGCUAAAAUAUUUUUAUAUACACAACUUAACCUGAAACUUCUGUAGUAACAACCGAGUUGAUUUCUCAAAUGUGAUUGUAACAUCAAAUAUCAUUAUACAAGUAUGUGAUACAAGUUACAACUCUUUAAGUAUUUAGUAUUCGUACUUGGCAAUCGACAGAUCCAUUUCCAUAUUCCACAAGUAUCACACCACAAUUUUUUAUUAGCACCACUAGCAUAUAUCAUUCCUAUCAAGAAGAUCAAAUCAUAGUUGACAAAUUUCUGCCCAUUGAAAUGUCUAAAAUAUUAUCAAACAAGUUUCGUAUCUUGACCAAGAUAUAUUAUUCUUUCGUAGGCUAGGUCAAUAUCAAAAGUCACACACUUCAUAACUCUGGCCAUGUAAGCAUCUAUUAUAGUAAUUGUAUCAUGGAAUAUUUAAUAUACACACAAUCUAUAAAAUCAUAGAAGAAAUUUUAGCCUUAAUUGGUGCAUCACUAUUCUUAUCAUUUUCGAACUAACCCAUUCUUGUUAGGAUAACUUUACCUAUUGUAGUUUCUGAAGUUACAUGUCAAUUAUCUGGACAUCAUUUAAUCAUUCCACUUCUAAUUGUUAAACAACUAAAGAUAUUAUCUAUAACACAAAACUACUAUUCCCUUUACUAGCAUAAGUAAUACACAACCCCUUAAAAUUGUUGAACAUUCUAAGUCUUACCACACAUCCUUUGCAUGAGUAUAUUAUUUUCACCGUAAUAUCAAAUCUAACAUUUAAAUCAUACAUGACAUCAACGAAUGGCUCACACAAUGAAUUACGCACGAGUCAUCACUAUAUGUGAGAGCGAAUGAAGUGAUACAAUAAAGAUCAAAACGGCUCAACGAAGCACGACAGAGAUUCAAAAAGUGAUGAUUUUUCCAAAAAAAAUCACUACAACCAAUUAUUGAAGAUAAGUACACUAACAUUACUAUAAGUCUAUCCGAGACAAAAAAACUCACCCAAGCCAAAAAUCAUGUUUUUAAGUUUCAAGCCUAGGGUUAACUUGUAUUAUAAUACACCAAUAAGUAAUUCCCUAUAUUAAUAUAGGGAAAUUUGAUUUAUAAUAUUUUAACAAUAAUAAGAAUUCUAAAGAACCCAAACCCUGUUUAUGAACAUAAUUUAAUGAAAGCCAGUCAAUUUCUAUGUAUUCAAUGUGGUACGCAUUAUAUUUUUAGAAAUUUAAUCUCCAUUGUGCAUACCAAGACAGCACCGAAAUUAGUGGAUGUCACUUUAUUGGUAAAUUCACAACUUUGCAGAAGACAUAUGUAUACAUAUAUUUUCCCUUCCAAUUAUUUCCAACAAUAUAAUAUAAUGAUUAUUAUAUUUCCACCCUUCCAAUUAUUUCCAACAAUACAAUAUAAUGAUUAUUAUAUUUCCAUAGUAUAUCAUUAAUCUUCCGUGAUGAAAUUUCCUUUUGAAUUGUGUAUGGUGUACACAUAUAUCUUUUACUUAACGUUUUGUAUUGCAAUUUUAUUUAUGUCUACCAAGGAUAUAUUUAAAACGAAUAAAGUAGGUUAUAUACAUCCAACAGUCAUUUAUAAAUACAUAAAGCUUGAUGUUUUUUUGAAGUUAUCGUUGUUCGUCACAUUGUUGCUGAAGUUGCAAAAUGUUACCCUCUCUCUAGAGUUAAAUAUUUUUUUCUUUAAACAAACACUAAUUUUAAAUUAAAAGUGACAGAUUCCACUAAUAUACUUUAAUCAAUGUAGUCUAAAUGGUAUAUGCUCUAAAAUAAAUUAUUACUUUAGCCCAUUAAGUUUUGAUUAACUCCUUUAUCUACAAUUACCCAUCAAUUAAUUGACUCAAGUUAAAAGAACUGUUCAGAAACUACAAAAAACAACCUACAAGGUCAUUCCACCACGAUGAGCAUAAAAGCGAAUGUGAUGGUCAAUAUCGAAGCGGUAGACCUAAUGUUGGCAGCCUUUUCUUGCGUGAAAUGAUGAACCUUCAAGUGGUAGAUCUAAUGGCGGUAUCCCUUUCUUGAGAAUUAUACAUGUAAUGUACCUUGAUUUGGUAGACCUAAUAGUGGUGGCCCUUUAAUGUGUAAUGUACCUUGCAUCGGUAGGCCUAAUGUUUGUGGCCCUUCUAAGUACAAUAACGUAAGGUGAAUUAAAUACUCAAUGGGAAUGGAGUCUAAGUAGCAAGUGCAUAUUGUAAGACGGCAGAUUCCUUAAGUUAGGCCUGAUUUCAAUAAACAUAUUUCUUAUCGCAUAACUAUGUUCCCAUAUAGGUUAUUAGGUAGUUGGUCAACCUAAGCAAAAUUGUGUCUAGUUCUACCUAAGGCACGUUGGACACCUUAUUUUGGUGUGGGGUGAUAUUAUACAUGAUGUCAUGGUUUUCUCUCAUGGUCUAUGUUGGUUAAUGCGUAUUCGCAUCAUGUGAAGAUAUUCAUUAUCGUUUCUUGAAAAGUUUUGUGAAGUAUGGGUUGUAGUAUGAGAUGUCAUCCAUGCAUUACAUGAAUAACUUUGAGAGUGUCAUAUUUAUUUCUCUAAUGUAUUCAUGAAUAAUGAAUGAAAGACCUCUAAAUUAAGCUACUGAUGAAUGCUAACUUAUAUGCUUAAUGUAAUUAUGCAUGCUAUACUUGGAAAAUAUAAUGAUAUACCUUUAUUGUCAUGACUUAUAAAAAAUAUUUAUGUUCCAUGUGUAUGAGUAUUGUACAAUGAUGAAAAAGAAGAAUGUUAAGUUUACUUUUAGUGGUCUAAAUAUGGUAAUUAGCGUGGAUGGUCGUAUGGGACGCUAUUCAUACAUUGACAAAGUAUGGCUUAUAGAUACAUAUGGUGAAUUCAUAAUAUGAUUAAAUUGCUUAUAUGUUGAUUAUAAUAUUAUGUAAUGAAAUGACUUGUAAUGUUGGUUAUGUUUGUAUAUUAUGAAUUUAAAUUUUUCUAUUUUUUUAUUUUAAUUAUUAGUGAAAAACCUUGAUUUUAUAAUACUUUAAGUUUGAGACAAAUCAUGAACACUAAUUUAGAAAAAAAAAGAAAACGGAAUGAGAAGCAUAAAGAAAUGAACACCUAAUUAUUUCUGAGUCAACUUGGCGAAUCACUAAUAACUCCGAAGAUCGCUUUUUCUUCUAGUGUGAUGAGCAUUAAAGGAGGGGAUCAAAUCGUUAGUAGAAAGAGGCAGUCGGUGCAUCACGGUGAAGUUCUGUGAAAUAGUUCCUUGUCAUUUUGUGCCCCACAACAUAGAGAUGCUUGGACUACGCACAAGAUGAUAAUGAAGUAAUUAAAGGUCAAAUCGCCAAUUUGUUUGGAGAUUCCAACUAAUGCUGCUGAGCAUCCCAGUGUAGCCCAAAUCUUUCAAAACUAUAAAUAUGAUGAGUAUUUUAAGUUAGAGAUCGAAAUAUUAUUGUUAGAAUAUAUUAUAAUCAUAUUUUUUCAUUCUUAUCUAUGUGUUUGAGCUCUAUGUUUUAGAAGAUUUUUGGAAGAAGAACUUGAAGACGGAGUUUCAAUGUAACAUUCCGAAAGUCUAAGACGUGUUAUAGCCUCACAUGAGUGUCUAAAGUUUUUUCCUCACUAUUUUAAGGUCUUAAAUAGUGUGUAAGUCAAUUAGGAAGUUUUGAAUCAAAACAUCAAAGAACGUCCAUGACGUCCCGAAACUAGUUCAAUGAGGUGCUAGUGUGCCUUAGUCUAUUUGACGAAGUUUUAAGAGUCACAAAUGAUGAAAUUUAGUGGUAAGUUGUCUAACACGUAAUAGAGUUAGUUUAUAGUCGAAAAUUAAGGGUACGACCCCCCAAAGACUAAACAAAGAGUCCUUUAGGAGGAUUCUCACAAUUUGGCAAAAGCUGCCAAAAGGCAGUGUCCAAUGAAGGUUGCAGGUGACGGCUCGUGGUCCAAUCGACGGGGAUUCGAUGUACACCGUCGAUGGUCACUUACCCAAAUUUAUUGGAAGCUAGUUUUGGAAAGCCUUAGUCAAAAACGAACGAAUAGGACGGUUGGUCCCUUUGCCGUCGUUUGACAAAUGCAUCACUCGUGCUUUUAUCUGUGAGCACACUGUUUUGCUGGACAUUUUUUAGUUGACUAAAUUAAUUAAUUAGGUGGUUAGUUAAUUAUAUAUGGGUUUAGAGAGGUCUAAUUAAAUUUGUUAAUGACCUAUAUAAAGACUCUAACCUAAUUAAACUAACCAAAGCCCUCCUAAUUCCAAAAAACAAAUUAUUCUUCCUUUCUCUUCUUUCUCACUCCGAAGUAGAAGAACACCAUGGAAAGUCAAGUUCAAGAGUGUUCUAGGGCUACUAAAGGUCAAGUUUGUCCAUCACACUUCAUUAUUCAACAAGGUAUGGGAUCCUCUAUCCCCAGAGGGUUCCUCCAAAUUGAUUUCAAAAAGUUGAGUUCUAAGUGGGUUUUCUUCCAAUCCGAUAUUGAUAUUGAGAACUAUUUUGUUUAUGAUUUCUAUUGGUAUAAUGAGUAUAUUAACAUGUAUUAUGGUUACAUUAUACUAAUUCUUGAUGAAUUGACCUAAUUUUUGGAAAGAUGACCUUUUCCCCUUAAUACUAGGUUGUGAUCUUUAAUUGAAUUGUAUAGUAUUGAUAUAAUUGGCUUGGUUAGUGUGAAAAUUACUAUCCUCUGUUUUUAUUAUACUAAUCAUCAUUAUAUUAUGAUACAUUGUAACCCAAUUAUUCUAGUGCUUGAGUAAUUGACCUAGAUUUUGAAGUAGAUUAUGAAUUUUAUCUAAGUCUCUAGUUCUAGGCUAUGAACUAGUGAUGUUGUUGUGUAGUUAGUCAAUUUAAUUCACUAUUAUGUUGGUUACUAUGGUGUGAUGAUAUGAUACCAUUAUUGGCUUGAAUUGGAUGGUUGAUGGUAAGACCUUGAGGAUAGAAUUGUGAAGGAGAUUGGGUAAUUCUUGUGAUGCCUAUUAUAUACUUAAAUUAUGAUUUCUUGUGAUUAAGUGAUGAUAUUAUGUUAAAGUAUACCUUAUGUUAAGAUUGCUACGGUUUGUAUGAAAUUCAAUUGAAAUGUCUUGAACUAUGGAUUAUGAGUUUUUGGCUAAGAUUUACAUGUUAUAAGGAUGGUGAUAACUUACCAAUGUGCCUUAUCAUGAUGUGAUUAUGUAAAUGUGCUAAACUCACUUCUAUGAAUUGUAAUGAAAGGAUAAUACUCAUGCAAUUCUUAAGCUAUAAUGAUUAAUAAGGCAUUAGAGAUAUUUUAAAAAAGGACUCUAGCUUAGUACCAAUUGAACAAGAGUGAGGAGUGUCCCUUCCCACAUAGGGAAGGUAGAAUCACUAAUGUACUUAUGAGAUUGGACUCUAUAAUGCAUGUAGCAUAAAGAGGAUCGCAACUAUAUCUCUUAGUUCUUGAACUAUGUUACCCCUAGCUAGUGUAUCAACCUACAUGCUAUGUUCAUGUUUUUGUACUAUCUUGGCAAGUAGUCCGCCUUCCUUCGGUGUAGGUUUCCAUGACACCGGAUUCCACAUUAGCUCAUGUGGCCUAUGUCGAUUAAGGAAAGAUGUUGCCAAAAGGUAAAAUAAACUAAAACAAUAAACUCUAACUAGCAUGACCCGGGGAUUAUCUUAGUGUAGUUAGGGGGGUAUAGGAUUCUACCUAUACAUUCCAUUAUUUAGCCUUGAGGAAAGUCUCAGGAGGAUGUUCUUAUAUAUGUAUAUUCUUAUAAAUUUAAAUGAUAUGUUUAUGGUGAUCUUAUCCAUGUUAGAUGAUGUUUUGAUUUGUUGUAUUGGUUUUCUUGACUAUGUAUUCAAUUGUGUUGAUAUGCAUGUUGGUUUGAUUGGAAUUAGUAUGGUUGGUCUUGUGAUGUUCAUAGUCUUGUCAUAAUGAAUAUGUUUUAUUGAUUUGUAUGGUUUCUUGAAAUGUCCAUAAGGUGUUUCAAAGUAAAUUGCAUACUUAAUUGAAAUGUCCCUCUUUAGCAUGAUUUUAUGCUAAGGUCUCAUACUUAGUACAAGUGAUGUGCUAACCCCAUUUUCUCUCUUUUCCCCAACAUUUUAGAUUCCGGUAGUUUAAGGUUUGCGAUGACAAUGCCAUUUUCUAGCUUCGGAUAUUUAUUAGUCUUGAAGACAAUAUGUUCAUUUUCUUUCAUUUGAGUACAAAAGAUUGUAUAGCCUAUAUGUGGCAUUUAUCGUAUUGAUGUAUGGGCUAUGCCCAAUUAUUAUACUCUUGUUUAGAUGGUUAUGAGGUAAGAUAUCCAGUUUUUAGACGAUAUUAUAUCUUUUACAUAUGAAUGUGCAAUAAAAGUAGAAGACUAAGUAAUUUUCUUAUACGAAGGGUCUAUGUAUACUCGAUAUGAAUAUAUUUUGUGUAUGCGAGAGGUUUAUGUAAACCUCAAGAUAGAUAUAAAAAAGUUUUAAAUUUUCAGCAUUCUAACCUAUGAAUGUAAUGAUGUAUGCUAAGAGGCUAGUCUUAGUCAUCGAUGAGGAUGAGGAUGUCGGUUACGUCUAGGGAGUGCUCCCUGGAUGUGUCAUUCAACUCAAAGGAUUUGGACUUGGAUCUUUUGAUUUAUUCUUCCUUGGGGAGUAACAAUACUAAAAUCUUCAUAGCCACUUGAAUACAAGAUCAUUUUGGUAUGAAUUUCUACCUGUUGUUUAUGUCUAACUGAAAUCCCAAUUCUUGGGUUGUUCUUUUUUAAUAUGGGUUAAGGUUGUUGUUGGAUAUUGUAUUCUUAUAGAUUAAUAAUAGUUUUAUUGUGAUUUUAUUUAGUAGUUGUGUAUGAACAUAAUGAAUAUAUAGUUGCAAAUACAAGUUUAUUUAGUAAAUUGAUGGCCAGCGGGAACGGGUCAACAUGAGACUGAGCUCAAUAGAGUGAGCCUGGUCUCAAUACCACAAAAUCAACUUGAGAGAGAGAGAGAGAGAGUGAGUUAAGGAAUAGGCUCGUCUUCAUGCGGGAUGUGGGUGCCUUAGUGCAUUGCAUUUUAAAUGGGGUAAGUUGCUUGAGAGAGAGAGAUUAUCCCCCUUAAAGCAUAGUGUAUCACACUUAUACUAUAAAUAUUCUAUUGAAAUCAUGUACUCAAAAAUUUAGCUCAACUCGUAUUGCUAUCACAUCCCCAGAAUCCCCCUCACUUGAUUUAGUUAUCUUGUUAUUUUCAUUUUUUUACUAUUAGUGACAAAAACCCCAAUGAUAUUUGACGUUGCGUCACCCUAUAAUUGAUUUAUAAUGUUUUUGUUCGGUAAUAUCUUUAACUAGAACUAGUUAGAACAUAAUUUUACUUUCCUAUUAAUUCUCACCACCACUCCUAGUGGAAACGACCCCAAUCCUUGGUUGUUUUACUUUACUAUUGCAUGAUCAUAGACACUCGUACUGGAUGUUGUGCUGUAUAUUACACAAAAUAUAAAAAUGGUGCCACUAACAAGAAGUGGUGUUACUUGAGUAGAGUAAUUGAGCUCCUUUAAAAUGAAAAAUGAGGAGUCUCUUGUAAACUGUGGCUUUUAUGAUUUGGAAAGCAUGAUUUUAGGCUCACUUUUGAAAAGUGAAGGCAUGUCUAGUGUAUGCCUAUAAAUUGUAACAUUUCCUUAAAUUAUUCAUGUUUAUGAUAGCUAGGCUAGAAUUGAAAUCUAUGUGAAACGGCUUCCUAUUGUUGUGAUGUGUGUGGUGUGAAUUACAAUUUUGACUUCACUACGAAGAUUGUAUGACCAUGCUAGUGUUAAAAGUUUAAAAGUUCUCAUGUUACAGUAAAGUUGACGUAUGUGCAUUUGUUUGGAUAUGAACUCAUGAGACAUGCAAGUGUGUUGAGGAGAAGGACAUACCUCCAUGGUGUCUCACCCCAACCCUAGGUGAGGCGGACAAGUACCCUAUGGACACAUGCUUUACAAGUAACUAUGAUGAGAAAGUAAACUAUUAUGCAGAUUGCUGAUGAAAAAAGCCUUAUAUACUACACAUGUUGACUAGCUGCACCAAUACACGUGACAAGUGAAACUAUGAAUACAGAUAAUUCUUUACAAUGUCUACAAAGCCUAUAUUAGAAUCCAUGCUAUGAGAAUACACAUAGUAAAGACUCGUCAAAGCUCGAAAUCAACCUGGAGCUCACCAACAACAGCUGAGUAUCAUGUUCUUCUAUGGGGGAGAUCUACUUUUGAAUACUUAUACCUGCAGCAUGAAAUGCACCACCCCAAUAAGAGACGUCAGUACGAAAGAGUGUACUAAAUAUGUAAGGCAUAAUACAACCAUAUUUGACAUGAGAGCUCAAGUGAAACCAAAUACCAAUAGAUAAGGAUUGGAGACCACCUUUGCUUAUAUUUGUGGAAUUAUGCAUGCUAAAUUCUUUUCUUUACUUUUUUGUGAGUUAUAAUUUUUGUAAGCAUAUGAUACAAAGGACCAACUGAUCAGUGGUAGGAGAGGAUGACCCAUGCUAGGCAUUUUAACCCUUGGGAUGUUGUCCUCAUAAUUCCACAAAUUGGGAUUGGCCAAUGCUAGACUUUCGCCCAUGAGCUGCCACCCUUCUAUACCAAUAAAUCGGGAUAGGCCCAUGCUAGGAUUUAACCCCUGAGUUGCCACCCUUCUAUACCAAUAGGGAUCGAUCCAGUGCUAAGCUUUGCCUCUGGGCUACCAGCGAUAAUUAAGCAAAUUGCUUCAUUUAGAUUUUUUUAAUCUUUGAGAUUGUUGGUUUGAUGUUCAUAACUCUUUUGAAACUAUACUUUGCAUAAUCAUAACUCUUUUGAUAUUGUUCUUUUGUUGAUAAUAACUCACUUGGGAUUGAUAUUUUGGUGGUCAUAAAUCAUUGUUGAGAUUUGGAACUAUGAACCUGUAGUAGAAGCCAUAUGAAUAUGAACUAUGACAAUGAUGUGGGAAGAAAAUGUGAUACCAACGUAAUACUUCUUCUAUAACUCAGUACACAUUUUUGACAUCUCAAAUGGAAGCACGUAUGAAGUGAAGACAUAUAACAUUCAUCCAAGAGAUUUUAACUCUAUAUUAUAGCCAAAUACGUACCAAUAAUAUCAAAGACAAGGUAUACAUGAAUAUGGAACCAAGAAAGAAUGUCGACAAAUUCAAUUGAAGGACGAUGGGAGUAAUAACCAAUAAAGGGAACACAUGAACAUGUGAAAACAUGACAUAUAUGAUGGAAUAUACUAUUGAAGCAUGUUGGCAAGAUAAAAGCAGAUCGUGCAUCCAUCCUACAAACAUAUGCACCAUGUAUGAUAGGAUCAAUUUCACUUAUAUAAGGGAAAUACGUGUUCGGGGUACUUUCCUAUGAAACAAGUUUAAAACUUGCAUGCUAACACUUGGUAGAGUGAACACACACAUUGAGUAACAAACUCGUAGUAGAGUUUUCACUUUAAUUCUCUAGGGAGUACGAUUUUUGGAUAAGUCACUACCAAAAGCACUUAGAAAGCUUACAAGUAUUGGAUUCAUUCCAAAGAAAUAGGAAAUCGAAUAGCCUUACCUUGCUGCAAAAAAUGGAUAUCACAAUGAGUUAACCAUCUUCCUUUCAGAUUAUUUAUGUACAAUGGAGUAAAUAAGAAAAAUUGAUAUUAAUGUCUAAACAAGUUUGUACUACUUGAUCAGACCAAAACAGUAAUUGGCAGUAUAUCUAUAAUUGAUCCCAUCCAGAGUUCUUCCCAUCCAUUUUCCCCUAAUUAUUUUUAUAAGGUCCUCCGAAACCUCUCAGGCUUCAUCACGUCUAGAAAACAGUAUUAAAGGAAUGGCAGGAAGUAAGCUCACGCAAUACUCAAUUAAGUGGUGUAUGACUACACUUUCCAUGUUUUAUCCUCUAACCAGCUUCUAUGACUUCUCUACAUACCCAGCCAUACCCUCUUAUUUUUAUAAUACACAAAAUAGUCAUUAAGCCUCACAAUGUGGAAAUAGAAAUAUGGACUCAUGGCAUCACGAUCAACAUCCCGUGAAUUCCACCUAAUAUUUAAAUUCUCAAAACAAGCUCUUUAUCAAAAUUUAAGGGGACUCCACUCCAUGUAUGUUCCAACAUGCACAUCCUUCAUGAAUAUUAACCAAGAUCACACCAUACAGAGGCAACACUCAACAAUUCAUUAACACAUACAAAAUUUUACAAAUGAUGUAAGACAAGAGAGGGGUGAAAAUUUCCACAGCUUACCUUGCUAGACAGAAACCUCAAUUGCCAAGACUUGCAUUCUUUAAGGUUUAGGUUGUCCUCUUCACCUUACCAUGAUGUUAAUUCAUAUUAUUCACUUAUCCUAUGUUUUUAACCAUAAAAAGAAUACAAAUGCUAUUAUUACUUAUUCAGGGUUGUUGGCACAUACCAUAUAAAUGUCAAACCUUAACAUACUCAAGAGGACAUACGAUGAGAAUUUGAGCCUUGCCAGCCAAUUAGGGAUAUAUCUCUAGUAACACUAUUGCACUGAUACAUCCACCUAUAAAAUUGAGAAACUGGUUUAACUACAUCAAUCUCGAGAACAUGUGUAACGCUGAGAAUUCAAUGUAUAUCAAAGACUAAGAACAAGUGUCCUCUAUGGGAAUAGAUCAUGAAGUAUGGAGGAGAUAUAGAAUUCAAGAGCUGGUUACAUCCUCUUAAGAAGCUGUGCUUGGAAAUGCUACAACAAAUAUAUGUAACUAGGUAACAAAUCAUUUUUGAACCAACAUGAUGCAAAUGGUACCUAUAUAUCAUUAGAUGGAAAUAACAUAAAAACCUUUACAACUGAUCUUCAAAUAAAUGAGUUGAAUCUAGUCAAACUUUUGGUAACUUGAGGUUCUUUUUGUAUGUCACAUACUGAUACUUUAACAACCGCAAACCAUAGACAUAGUUAAUAUGAAUAGCAAGAUCUGAUACAACUGGAAAUAAUUUCUUAACUUCACUCUAUCGCACCAUCAGAAUUAUGAAGGAAGGUAACUUUCCUAAAUGUCCAAGCAAACCCCUAAUUGUAAAUGUGGAGUGCAACACAUUCAUAACUAAGCCUAUAUAUACUAGACACGGUUUUGUAGACUCCCUAGGACGAACUGCUUUGAUACACUUUUGUCACACCCCAACCCUAUGUGAGGCAGGCAAGUACCCUAUGAACACAUGCUUUACAAGUAACCUUUGAUUAGAAAGUAAAGUAUUAUGCAUAUUACUGAUGAUGAAAAGCCUUAUAUACUACACAUGUUGACUAGCUGAACCAAUACAUGUGACAAGUGAAACUAUGAAUAUAGAUGAUAGCUUUGCAAUAUCUACAAAUUAUCUAUAAGAAUCCAUGCUAUGAGAAUACGCUUAGUAAAGACUCGGCAAAGCCCCGAAUCAACUUCGAGCUCACCAACAACAACUAAGGAGAUCUACUUUGAAUACUUGUACGUGCAGCAUGAAAUGCAACGCCCCUAUAAGGGACGUCAGUACGUAAGAAUGUAAUUAUAAUGUAAGGCAUAAUACAACCAUAUGUGACAUGAGAGCUCAAGUGGAAUCAAAUACAAAUAUGAUGUAAAGGACCACCUUUGCUUAUACUUGUGGAAUGGUGUAUGGUACAUUCUUUUCUUUACUUUUGUGUGAGUUAUAGAUUUUGGAAUCCAUAUGAUGCAAAGGACCAGUUGAUCAGUGGUAGGGAAGGAUGACCCCAUGCUAGGCCGUUUAACUCCUGGGAUGUUGUCCUCAUAAUUCCACAAAUUGGGAUCGGACCAUGCUAGGUUUUCGCCCCUAAGCUGCCAUCCUUCCAUACCAAUCGGGAUUCACCCAUGCUAGGAUUUCACCCCCUAGCUUCAACCUUUUAUACAAAUUAGGAUCGACCCAUGCUAGGCUUUGCCCCUGGGCUGCCACCCAUAAUUAUACAAAUUGCUUCAGUUAGAUGUUUUCUAUUCUUUGAGAAUGUUGCUUUGAUGUCCAUAACUCUAUUGAGACUAUACUUUGGAUAAUCUUAACUCUUUUGAGAUUGUUCUUUUGUUGAUAAUAACUCAUUCGGGAUUGAUUUUUUGGUGGUCAUAAUCAGUGUUGAGAUUUGGAACUAUGAACCAAUAGUAGAAGACAUAUGAAUAUGGACUAACGAUAAUGACAAUGAUGUAGGAGGCAAAUGUGACACCAAUGUAAUACUUCUUCUAUGACUCAGUACACAUUUUUGACAUCUCAAAUUUAAGCACAUAUGAAGUGAAGACAUAUAACUUUCAGCCAAGAGACUUGAACUCUAUAUGAUAGUCAAAUACUCACCAACUAAUAUCAAAGACAAGGUAUACAUGAAUGUGGAACCAAGAAAGAAUGUGGAAAAAUUCAACUUAAGGACGAUGGGAGUAAUAAUCAAUAAAGGGAACACAUGAACAUGUGAAAACAUGACAUAUAUGAUGGAAUAGACUAUUGAAGCAAGUUGGCAAGAAAUGGGCAGAUCGUGUAUCCAUCCUAUAAACAUAUAUACCAUGUAUGACAAGAUCACUUUGACUUAUAUAAGGGAAAUACAUGUCAGGGGUACUUUGACAAUGAAACAAGUUUAAACCUUGCAUGCUAACACUUGGUAGAGUAAACAUGCACAUUGAGUAACAAACUCAUAUUAGAGUACUCACUUUAAUUCUCUAGGGAUUACGAACUGCAUUUAAGGAUUAGUCACUACCAAGAGCACUUAUUUAGCUUACAAGUGUUGAAUUCAUGCCAAAGAAAUAGGAAAUCGAACAGUCGUACAUAACUUGCUGCACAUCAAUGGAUAUCACAAUGAGUUAACCAUCUUCCAUUCAGAUUAUUUAUAUACAAUCGAGUAAACAAUAAAAAUUAAUAUUAAUGUCUAAACAAGUUUGGGCUACUUGCUAAGACCAAAACAGUAAUUGGCAUUAUAUCUAUAACUGAUCCCAUCCAGAGUUCUUCCCAUCUAUUUUCCCCUAAUCAUUUUUAUAAGGUCCUUCGAAACCCCUAAGGAUUCAUCACGUCUAGAAAACAAUAUUAAAGGAAUGGAAGGAAGUAAGCUCAUGCAAUACUUAAUUAAGUGGUGUAUCACUACACUUUCAAUGUUCUAUCCUCUAACCAAUUUUCAUGACUUUUCUAUAUAUCCAGCCGGACCCUCUUAUUUUUUGAUACACAAAACAGUCCCUAAGCCUAACAAUGUAGAAAUAGCAAUAUGGACUCAUGGUAUCUGAUCAACAUCCCGUGAAUUUCAACUAUAAUUUUGAUUCUCUAAACAAGAUCAAUAUCAAAAUUUAAGGGGACUCUACUCCUUGGAUUUAUCAACAAGCACAUCUUCCUGAACAUUCACCAAGAUCACACCAUACAGAGGAAACACUCAACAAUUCAUUAACACAUAAAAACUUUUACAAAUGAUGUAAGACAAGAUAGGGAUGAAAAUUUCCACAACUUACCUUGCUAGACAUAAACCUCAAUUGCCAAGACUUGGAUUCUUUAAGGUUUAGGUUGUCCUCUUCCCCUUACCUUGAUGUUAAUUCAUAUUGUUCACUUGAAUUCCAUAAGAUGGAGAUGUUUUGAAAAUUGUACUUUAAAAACACUUGUUUCCUUCAUAUUGUAAUGGUGAUGCUUUAGAACAGAACUCUUUGGAACUUCUAUGGAUUUUCUUGGAAGUAAUUUUCUUGAAAAUAAGUGACGAGCGAGAGGUGAUAAGCUUGAGUGAUUUAGUUGUCCCUUUUGGAAAUUUUAACUUAAUAAAUUGGAGAAAUAAUAUGGUCCUUUACUUUUAAGCAAGAAGGUACAUCACCUCCUUAGUUUCUGCCACAUGUUUUUAAGUAGGUGCAUUAGCUACUUGCUCUUUCACUUAAAUUUAGUCAACUUAUUCUAAGUAGGUGCAUCACCUACUUGCUCCUUUAAAAUUCUUUCCACCAAUUCCAAGUAGGUGCAUUUAACAUAAAAUUCAGUCCACUUAUUCUAAGUAGGUGCAUCACCUACUUAUUACCUACUAGCAUAUUUUAGUCAAGAAAGAACCUCAAUUAUUUUACACAAUUUUCCCCAUCUUAAAUUAUUUACUAGACCGUAGCACUAAUAUACACUUGACCACUUUGAUUUUUAUAUUGAAUGCCACCUUUUUAUAUUCUGAGUUUGAAUUGUUUUUUAGUUUAGUUAUUUGUAUAUGUGUUGGAAGACACGGGGUAUUAAAACUUUAAACAUAUACUAAUAUCACCAGUCGCAUAGGAAACCGAGUCCAUAACUAUACCACAAGGAAAUUUUUGAGCUACAUAUACAUAGAACUAGUACACAUUGAAUACAAGGCGUGACACAUGGACACAAAUAAGUAUGGUAUGGUUGAGUAUGACUCUUAUGGAACUAGGUCUAACUAAUAAAGAUCCUUGUUCAUUCAAUUGACUCAAGUCUAUGUGUAUUCAAGUAUGAGCACCUAAUUGUUUCUUGAGUGUUGUUAAAUCUGUCUAAGUUUGACUUAAGGAUGGUUGCAAGAUGAGCUCUUAGUAAAUUAAAAUGUAAAGACCAUGUUAUGAUUAGGAGAAGGAUGUUCCUCCUAUGAACAUGAUAAGAGAAUCUGUGUUUCAUGCAUUAAAGAGUGAGUGAAUAAAGGUCUUGCUUCCAUGUGUACAUUUAGUGCUAAAUGGUUUGAAGUUGUGUUCCUUUCAAGUCUGGUGCAUUAACUUCUAUAUGGUAAUGUUAUGAAUGUUGUAAGCUGCUCUUUGAUUCAUUGAAGUCCUUGUUAUGAUUAAAGUGUUCAAAGUGUCAUUCGAGAAAAAAUGUUCCCAAGUGGGGGAUAUUGUAAGACCCUCAAAUUGAUUUAGGAUGUCUAAAGACUCACUUGAGCAUAUAAUCUUUUUAACAUGUUAAUUGAGUGUUUAAAAGUAAGCAUGGGUGAUUUGAAGUCAUUUAGAAGUCAAACGUCAAGGGAUGACAAAGAGGUUUGACGACUAGUCACCUAACGGGUCUUAGGUUUUUUAUGUGCUUAUGUCUGUUUGAUGAGAAUAUGAGGUCCUUAUAUGAGUAAAAAUGAUGUUUAUAAGCAUUGUAUGGAGUUUCAUGAAGUUUUGAGGUCAAACGUCCAAGACGUUUGAAAGUUAGCCUUGUGACAUGUAGAUGUGUGUCUUGAGUGUGCCUAGAAUGUUUGGACAUGUUGCGUGUGAUUGUUUGGGUGAAACUAAUGUGGAAGUUAUUUCACUUUUCAGUGUUCAUAUUUAUGUUGGAAAUUUCUGUGUACGACUUCCCAAGGGCCUGUAAGAGGAGUAGCUCAACACUUAGUUUGGUCAGCCUUGUGUCUCAAAGAAGGAACUACAGUACCCAACAAUGGAGUAGCAGGAUGCCCCGUUCUCUAGUCGAAGACCAGUCGAUGCUAUUCAUCGAUGGUUGCCUGCAACUACAUGACUGCGACUGUUUUUUUUAAGGGGUGAAUGGGUAAUUCACUCCACGUGCUAACCUGAACCUACUAGGUUUAUUUGGUUAAUUUUGGGUGUGUUUAAGUGAUCAAAAACGUGAUCACUCCAUUCUCAAUCCAUUCUUCACAAAUUAGACUUUCCCUCCAAAAAUAUUCUCCCUAGAAGUUCCAUUGAAGGUGAAGCUCAAGAACAACUUGGAUCUUGGAUUUCUAUGGGUUUUUCAUCACGUUUUAGAGGUUUUCUUAUACAUUAAGGUAUGGUGAUCAUUCAUCUCUAGUUAAUCUUUCAUCUAGAGAGUUCUUCUCAAAGUUUUCAUAAGAUAUUUCUUGAUGAAACUUAUUCUUCUUCAAUCGAACUCUAUACUUCCAUUACCGUUACUUGUGGUUAAAUGAUGAUGUUAUAUUGAAGUAUGCCUUGUGUUAGGAUUGAUAGGAGGGUUCGUAUUAUUUUGAAUUGAAUGUCUGUACUAUGGUAUGUGAGGUGUUGACUAUGAUGUAAAUCUUAUAAGGAUGUUGAUGAUUUACCAAUGUGCCUUAAUAUGAUAUGACUAUGUAAAUGUGCUAACGUCACAUGUAUGAAUUGUAAUGAAAGGAUUAUACUCAUGCAAUUCUUAUUUAGCUACGAUGACCAUGAUGUUUAUAAAACCGUAGACCCUAUGGCCUAUAUUAAGUUAUGAUGAUUAAUAAAAGUUUUAAAGAAAUUUCAUAAAGGGGCCUUAUGAACUUAACAAUGGGAGGUGUUGACUUUCCAUAGAGGGAAAUUCACCCUAUAGUUUCACAUGAGGUGUUGAAUCCCCUAUGAGGGAUACUCACUUUCUGUAUACCAAUGAGAGGAGGCUCCAAUUGCCAAGUGGCAUAUGUAGAGGUUGUACCUAUCUCUUAGUUCUUGAACUAUGUUUUCCCCAUAGGAAGACUAUAAAGUGGAUACACCUUGAAAGCUAUGUUUAUAUUUGGUUUUACUGUGGCCGGUAGACCAGCUUCCUUCGGUGUAGGAUUUUAUGUCACCGGAUUCCAUAUUAGCUCAUGUGGUCUAUGUAGGUUAAGGCAAGAUGUUCCCAAAAGGUAAAAUGAACUAAAGGAUUGAACUCUUAAUAAGAUGACCUAAGGGGGUUUAGCUUAGUCUAUGUAGGGGUAUGAGACUCUACCUAAACAUUGCACUAGUUAGCCUUGAGGGAUGUCUUAGGAGGAUGUUCUUGUGUAUGUAUAUGCUUAUAAAUGUAAAUCAUAUGUAUAUGAUGAUCUUACAUGCAAAUGACACUAUGUGAUUUUGAUUACUCUUAUGAACAUGUAUUUGGUCUCUAUCGCUAAAAUAUGAUAUUAUGUACUCUUAAUGUUAUGUUAUGUGAAAUUGGACAUUGGCUAUGGUUCUUGUUAGAUUUACUUGAUUAUGUAAGGUUAUGGGGCUUUGCUUAGUCAUUGCACAAGUGGAAUUAAAAGAGGAUCAUGAGUAAUGUUCUUGCUUUGGUUAUGUUGAAAUGUACUCUUAUUCAUGCUUGUUAUUAUAACUUGAUAAUAGAUCUUGUUUAACUAUGUCAAUUAUAUGAUAUGCAUGUUGACUUGAUUAGACUUAGUAUUGUUGGUCUUGUGAUGUACAUGCUUAUGACCUAACAAAUAUGUUUUAUUGAUUGGUAGGGUCUUAUUGGAAGCUUUUCAAAGUAAAUUGCUUACCUUUAUGAAAUGUCCCUUUUUAGCAUUAUUUCAAGAUAUGUGUGCAUAUAAUCUCAUAAUUAGUACAAGUGGUGUACUAAUCCCAUUUCUUCAUUUUUCACCAAUAUUUUAGGUUUCGGUCGUUAAAGGGCUUUGGGAGGCGACUUUGAAGAAGACUUGAAAUUCUCAAUCAUACAAGUUGGGUAGGUCCUCACUUUGCGAGUGCAAUGCCACUAUUAAGCUUAUGAAGUUGUUUUAGUAUUAAGACUCUUACGUUCUUUCUUUUUCAUUUGUGUACUAAACAUUAUAUGACCUAUAUGUCGUCUUGUUAUAUUGAUGUAUGGGCUAGGCCCAAAUUAUUACACUCUUGUUAGAUGGUUAUGAGAUGAGAUGAUUAUUUGAGACUAUUAUAUUCUAUAUAUCUAUGUGCAAUAAGUAGAAGACUAUGUAAUCUUCCUAUACGAAGGGUCUAUGUAUACUUGAUGCAUAUAUUAUGUGUAUGUAGAAGUCUAUGUAGACCUCAAUGUAGAAGCAAUGAAAAUUUCUAAAUUUUUGAUAAUUUGACCUAUGAAUGUAAUCAUGUAAGCUAAGAGUCUAGUCUUGGUCCUGAAACAGGACGACGACGGCGGUUACAUCUAGGGGGUGCUCCCGGAUAUGAAAGUCCAAAAUGCUGAAAUUUCUCAUGGACGUCCAUUAAGACUUUGGCUAUGUAGCCAGUUGGCCCUUGCGGACAUGCCGGCCAAUUUUCAAUGUCUAACGAGCCCUGAAUCGCGCAUGCCCAUAAUUUUGUGCAUUAGCGUGUGCUAUAGCUCACUAUUUUUGUUGGUGAUCCAGAAGACUAAAGUCCAAAGUGCCAAAAUUUCUUAUCGACAUUCAUUAAGACUUUCGCUACCAGUCGGUUUGCCCUCACGGCCAUGUCGACCCAUUUUCAAGGUUAAAAGAGCCCUAAAACGUGCAUACCCUCCAUUUUGUUGAAUAUCGUGUGCUAUACCUUACCAUCUUUGUUGGUGAUCCGGAUUUCCGACGUCCAAAAUGCUGAAAUAUCUCGUGGAAGGCCGUUAAGAUCUUUGCUAUGCUGACGGUUAGCCCUUGCGAACAUGCCGGCCGAUUUUCAAGGUCAAACGAGUCCCGAAGUGAGCAUAACCCCUAUUUUGCCGAUUAUUGUGUGCAUAGCUAACCUUCUUUUUUGGUGAUCUGGAUUUUUGACGUCCAAAAUACCGAAAAUGCAGCGCUGGACAAUUUUUAAGGUCAAACAAGCCUUGAAGUGUACAUAACCCCUAUUUUCCGAGUAUCAUGUGCUAAUAGCUCACCAUCUUUGUUGGCAAUCAGAUUUCCGACGUUCAAAAUGUCGAAAGUUCUCCUGAACAUCCGUCAAAACCUUGGCUAUGCAGCCGGUUGGCCUUCGUGGCCAUACCGGCCUACUUUCAAGGUAAAACAAAGCGCGCAUACCCUAAAUUUUGCCGAUUAUCGUGUGCUAUAGCUCUUAUCUUGUUGGUGAUCUAGAUUUCUGACAUCCUAAAUGCCAAAAUUUCUCAUGGACAUCCUUAAAGACUUGGCUAUGCAGCCAGUUGGCCCUCAUGUCCAUGCCGGCCAAUUUUCAAGUACAAACAAACCUAAAUUGCGCAUAACCCCUAUUUUUCUAAUUAUCGUGUGCUGUAGCUCAUCAUCGUUCUUGUGAAUCCGGAUUUUAGAUCUGCAAAAUGCCGAAAGGUCUAGUUGAUGACCGUUAUGACCUUGUCUAUGCAUCCAGUUGACCCUCGCAGACAUGCCGACCCGUUUUCAAAGUCAAACGAGUCCCGAAGUGCGCAUACCCCAAUUUUUCCUAUUGUCAUGUACUAUGCACGCCAUCUUUGUUGGUGAUCCUGAUUUCCGACGUCCAAAAUACCAAAAUUUCUCAUGGAUGUCCAUUAAGAUUUUGGCUAAGCAGUAGGUUGUCCUUGAGGACAUGCCAACCCAUUUUCAAGGUCAAAUGAGCCCCAAGCGCACGUAACCCCCAUUUUAUAAAUUAUUAUGUUCUAUAGCUCACCAUCUUUGUUGGUGAUUCAAAUUUUCAACGUCCAAAAUGCAGAAAUUUCUUGUGGAUGUCCAUCAAGACCUUCUCUAUGUAGCCGCUUAUCCUCACGUCCAUGUCGCGCCAUUUUCAAGGUCAAACAAGCCCCGAAGCGUGCAUACCCCUAAUUUUUCUGAUUGUUGUGUGCUAUUCCUCACCGUUUUUACUGGUCAUCCGGAUUUGUGACAUUAAGAAUGCCUAAAGUUCUCUUGGACAUUCAUUUAGACCUUGUCUAUGCAACAAUUUGGCUUUUAAGCCAUGCCGGUCCAUUUUCAAGGUUAAACAAGCUUCGAAGCCUGCAUACCCCCCAUUUUGCUAAUUAUCGUGUGCUAUAGCUCACCAUCUUUGUUGGUGAUCCAAAUUUCCAACGUCCAAAAUGUUGAAAUUUCUUAUAGAAGUCCGUUUAGAAAUCACCUAUGUAGCAUGUUUGCCCUCACGAGCAUGCUUUUAAAUAUUAAAGGUCAAACAAGCCCCGAAGCGUGCAUACCCCCCAUUUUUCCAAGUAUUGUGUGCUAUAGCUCACCACUUUGUUGGUGAUCCGGUUUCCAACGUCUAAAAUGCUGAAUUUUUUUGUGGACGUCCUUUAAGCCCUUGGAUAUCCAGACAGUAUGCUUAUAUUAAUGGGUUGUCACUUGAAUCCCAAACCUAUUAAAUGAAAUUAAAAUUUGAACGAACGAACUCCCAGCAGCCAAAUCUGCCAAGGCCCAAUAUGGAUAAAGCCCAAGUUAAAGCAACUAGUUGCAUCACCUAGUUUGACCUUUUGAGCUGCUUGAUCUGUACAAGCAGGUGCAUCACCUACUUGAACAAUUAGUGGCUAAAAAUAGACCCCAAAAAAAGGAGGUUCUAGAGGAUAUUUUUGUAGUCAAUAAAUCUCUCUCUAUAUACAAUAUGAGCAGAUAUUCUUCAACCAUUUUAACACUUAAAAAUAAAAUUUAACUCCAGCUGUCUCUCUCUCUUACCUCAAGGACUAAACCAGCAGCCUUAUAUUUUUCUAAGGUUCUUGAAGAAACCCUUAUAUAUGCAAACCAAGGUAAAUGAAAACUUAUGGAUUUAGCUUAAUUCUCCCAUGCAUGAUUAGGAAAACAUAUUAUUCAUACUCUAAUAUAACUACAUAGGCAGAAUAUCUCCAGCAAUUACUGCUCCCUUCCUUAGUUAUUUAAAUACCUUUCUUUCUUCUUUUCUUCAAGUGAGAAGGGAAGCUGAAGUUCUAAAAGAAUUCAAGUUAUAAGGAGAAGUUUCAGAAAUUGAUGUAAGGUGACUGCUCCAUUUUUGUCUUCCUUAUGUAUGAGUUUGAGUGAGGAAUUAGUGGUGUGCUUUCAUGAAGAAGUCAAAUGGGGAUUCAAUACUUGCUUGUGUGAUAAAGAAUAUUUGGGGCUGUUCUAUGUAUAAAUUGUUGGUGCAGCUUGGUUGGUUUUGGGAAAAAGAUGUAUAAUGUAUGUGAUGGACAGAGAAUGAGGGUGUGGUGAUACACAUUAUGUUAAGGGUUGUAUGGGCUCAUUAUCAGUCAAAGUUAGCUAAUGUUUUACAAGGCUCACGGCGUGAUUACUGCUAAUUUUAGUUUACCAUGACUUAAACUGUAGAUUAAAACCAAAAAGGGGAGGUUGAAUCGUGAUAGUAUAUCAAUCCGAGGAUAGGGUAUGUAAGGCUUUCAAUUCUAUAUCCCUUUGGCAUGAAAUCUGACACCUGCAAUUAAUAUCAAUGAAGUGAAUCUCAUAAGUUCUAUUCCAAGAAAAGGCCCUUUUAGGGUUUCAUCAUUUCAUUACAUACAUCUUAUUUACUCCUCCCUUUUUACGUGAAUGUUCAUUUUAUCAUCUUUUAGUGUUGACCCAAGCAUUAUGGAGGCUUAUUUCUACAUUAAGAUUUACUUACUCUAUUGAUGACUGGUCAUACUUACUUUACAUUGAUGAUAUGUGAAUGGUUCUUUUAUAUCAUCCUUAAUUUACAUCGAUGAAUGUGAAUUGCCAUACAUAUCAUCCUUAGGUGUUAAUGAGACUAGUUUCACACAUUCUAACUUCUUCAUUCAUGAGUAUUCUUUUAUCAAAUUAGCGUUGGUGUAAGUAAGACUUGUCACACUUCCUUUACACCCCAUUCUGGUCACUUACUUAAUUUUCACACCUUUAAUUAUGUUAUAACUCACGUUACUUACUUACUUUAGUGUUGUAGCUCCAUAUCACCGUUUAUGGACGAUGAGCACUUCAUUAAAUGAGUUUCAUGUGUUCAUAGUUCAUUCUUGUGGAGCAUGUUGGGAGUUGUCCCAAUGAAUGUUAUGCCCUUGGUUAUGCAUUCAUUUAUAUUACUUUAGAAGUGCUUAAUAUAUAUUUGAUACUCUUAUUACACAAGUAUUGGCAUGUGAUUAGUAUUGGCUCAAAAUUUGGGAUGUUAGACUAGCAAAUUCAUUCUUUUUGGCAUAAGCCAAUUUUUACGUAUGUUCAUUUUAAAUUGUCAUAUGCAUGAAUCCUUAUCCAAUUUUUUAAUCAUUUACAUAAGUUACUAUCCAUUAGCAUAUAUUCAUUUUGACCAAACAGAGUUAGCCAACUUUAUUAGAACCAGAUAGCCAAUUUAUUCAAGAUAUGAUUUCAUAGAUGUCUUUGAGUCUAUUCUUAGUUUAUGUAUUUUAGUGUAACGUUUUAAGAACAUAUUGGACAACAUUAUAUUAACAUUUGAUGGAUUUAACAUCUUCGUAACAUCACAACAACAACAAGUCAACAUUCAGCCAAAGCCACAUUUUCACUUAACACAUCACAGACUUAACUUAGCUAUUAUCGAUCAUUAAUUAUCAUUAUAAGAUUAACUUUACGCAAUUACAAAUUCAUAAGUUCAUUCGAUGCUCAUCAUUCAAGAAGAAUACAUUUUAAGAACAGCCGGCACCACAUACCAACAACAUGAUCUCUAACCUAUUAAACAUUGAAUCGAAAAGGAUACUAUGGAAGGGAAGUUCGACGAGAACGACGGGAACAACCCUAGUUUUCAAAAUCUUUUGAAUCGUUCGAAGGAAAAUAAUCUCGGGGAAAUAAUUCCAUGAUAUAAACCCAUACCUUAUGUAGAACUUAAUCUACGAAGACCAUCUUGAACAAAAACAUGGAGAAACAUUGAAAUCGCCUAGGAGAAUCAAUGGAAUUUUCUGUUCUUCUUUCCUUCGCUUGCUUACUUUUUGCGUCCCUUUUUUUCUAUGAGUUUGAACGUGAUUUUUAAGUUUAAUAACUGACCUUGAAUUAUACAACUUAGGUUUAAUAAGUUAAUUUAAUAAAUUAAUUAACCAAUUACCAAAAUGCCCUCCUAAAUUGACUAAACAUAGGAGAACAUAACACUUUGUCAAAUCUGGAAAUUGGUGUUGACUAUGUUUUGGUCAACAUUUCGACUUUAUAUUAAUUAAUUAAAUACUUAAUGUAAUUAAUUUAUGUACCUAGGGUAAGUACUAAAGUACCCUAAAGUCAUUGGAACCAAAAUUAACCCUUUUGGACCAUCGUAGGUUAAGUACUAGGAUGUUUCUAGAGUUGUACUAGGUUAGUGUAAGAAUUUUGUAAGAAGGAUCACCAAUACAUUUACGUAGCAUUGAUACAUGGAAGACUGGAUGUACCGCCUCCAAAUCAGAUGGUAGAUCCAACUCAUAGGCAACCUUGCCUAUCCUACGAACAAUCUGAUAAGGCCCAAUGUAUCUCGGACUGAGCUUCCCCUUCCUGCCAAAUCUCAUCACACCCCUCUUGGGUGAUACCUUCAGGAAUACCCAGUCACCAAUCUGAAACUCCAAAUCUCGACACCGAUUAUCUGCAUAUGACUUUUGUCAAUUCUGGGCUGCUAAUAAUCUUUCUUGAAUAAGCUUCACCUUGUCAACAGCUUGCUGAAUCACAUCCGGGCCUAUUAACUUUGUCUCGCCAACAUCAAACCAACCAAUAGGUGAUCUGCACUUCCUCCCAUAUAAGGCCUCGUACGGAGCCAUCUGGACACUAGAAUGGUAGCUAUUGUUAUAGGCAAACUCAAUGAGCGGCAAGUGGUCAUCCCAGCUACCUUUGAAGUCAAUAAUACAGGCCCGCAACAUUUCUUCUAGUGUCUGAAUAGUACGCUCAGCCUGCCCAUCAGUCUGAGGGUGAAAUGUUGUGCUAAGGUUCACCUGUGUCCCCAAUCCCUUCUGAAACGGUCUCCAAAAGUUGGCUGUAAAUUGAGCUACUCUGUCUGAUAUAAUGGACGUGGAAACCCCAUGAAGUCUCACUAUCUCCCUGACAUAUAACCUCGCAUAAUCUUCAGCCGAAUAAGUAGUCCUAACUGGAAGAAAAUGGGCCGAUUUCGUCAGCCUAUCUACAAUAACCCAUAUAGAGUCAUACUUCCAUUGAGUGCGAGGUAAGCCUGUAAUGAAGUCCAUAUUAAUCAUCUCCCAUUUCCAAGUCAGGAUCUCUAUCUCCUAUAAUAAUCCACCAGGCUUUUGAUGUUCAAUCUUGACUUGUUGACAAUUCGGGCACUGAGCAACAAACUCCGCUAUGUCCUUUUUCAUGCCAUCCCACCAAUAUAAGCAUCUGAGGUCAUGAUACAUUUUUGUUGACCCUGGGUGAAUAGAAUAACGGGCAGAGUGUGCCUCUCCCAUAACCUGUCGUCGUAGCCCCGCAGUAUCGGGUACACACAAUCUGCCUUCAUAUCGUAAUACUCCGUCAGGUGUAACCUUAAAUGGGGUCUUUUCCUUUUGAAGAGAUGCAUCUCUAUAUUGUGCCAGAAUAGAGUCCUUGUAUUGCUGUCUCUUUACCUCAUCUAUGAUUGAGGACUCAGCAACCUCUCGAAUAGAAACUCCACUAUCUUCUGAAUUAGCUAGACGGACUCCAAGGCUGGAUAGCCGCUGAAUCUCCCGAACCAUAUCCCUCCUUUCUGGUUGUACAUCUGUCAAGCUACCCAUGGAAUUACGGCUAAGAGCAUCUGCUACAACAUUCGUUUUCCCUGGAUGAUAUAAAAUAUCAACAUCAUAAUCCUUUAGCAACUCUAACCACCGCCUCUGUCGUAAGUUCAGCUCCUUCUGUUUAAAGAUAUAUUGGAGACUCUUAUGAUCUAUAUAGAUGUCCACAUGGACACCAUAUAAAUAAUGUCUCCAUAUCUUCAAGGCAUGAACCACGACCGCUAACUCCAGAUCGUGAGUAGGAUAGUUCUUUUCAUGCUUCCUAAGUUGUCGGGAGGCAUAGGCUAUAACUUUGCCAUGCUGCAUCAAUACACAUCCUAGCCCAACACCCGAAGCAUCACAAUAAAUAACAUAGCCGUCUGGUCCCUCCGGAAGAGUUAGGACUGGAGCUGUAGUCAAUUUGUCUUUCAAUAGCUGGAAGCUUCACUCACAAGCAUCAUUCCACUGGAACUUGGCUGCCUUUUGAGUUAGCCUUGUCAAAGGCACUGAAAUUGAGGCAAACUUUUCUACAAAUCUCCUGUAAUAUCCUGCUAACCCCAGAAAGCUGCGUACCUCAGUAGGUGUCGUAGGUCUGGGCCAAGUCUUUACCGCCUCAAUCUUCUGCGUGUCUACCCGAAUACCAUCAGCUCCAAUAAUAUGCCCCAAGAAUGCCACUGAAGUCAACCAGAACUCGCACUUAGAAAAUUUAGCAUACAACUUCUGGUGCUAAAGCACCCUAAGUACCGUCCUUAAAUGGUCUGCAUGCUCCUCUUC
rnacentral:lncRNA from 1 species